rnacentral:rRNA from 1 species
UACGUAGGUGGCAAGCGUUGUCCGGAAUUAUUGGGCGUAAAGGGCGCGUAGGCGGGAUGGCAAGUCGGUCGUGAAAUCCCUCGGCUCAACCGAGGAACGUCGAUCGAUACUGCUGUUCUUGAGGAUUGCAGAGGAGACUGGAAUUCCCGGGUGUAGCGGUGAAAUGUGUAGAGAUCGGGAGGAACACCGGUGGCGAAGGCGGGUCUCUGGGCAAUUCCUGACGCUGAGGCGCGAAAGCGUGGGGAGCAAACGGG